rnacentral:rRNA from 1 species
GGGGGUUUAUGCAAGUCGACGGAAGGCCUCUUCGGAGGUACUCGAGUGGCGAACGGGUGAGUAACACGUGGGCAAUCUGCCCUGCACUUCGGGAUAAGCCUGGGAAACUGGGUCUAAUACCGGAUAGGACCUCAAGACGCAUGUCUUCUGGUGGAAAGCUUUUGCGGUGUGGGAUGGGCCCGCGGCCUAUCAGCUUGUUGGUGGGGUGACGGCCUACCAAGGCGACGACGGGUAGCCGGCCUGAGAGGGUGUCCGGCCACACUGGGACUGAGAUACGGCCCAGACUCCUACGGGAGGCAGCAGUGGGGAAUAUUGCACAAUGGGCGCAAGCCUGAUGCAGCGACGCCGCGUGGGGGAUGACGGCCUUCGGGUUGUAAACCUCUUUCACCAUCGACGAAGGUCCGGGUUUUCUCGGAUUGACGGUAGGUGGAGAAGAAGCACCGGCCAACUACGUGCCAGCAGCCGCGGUAAUACGUAGGGUGCGAGCGUUGUCCGGAAUUACUGGGCGUAAAGAGCUCGUAGGUGGUUUGUCGCUUUGUUUCGUGAAA